rnacentral:rRNA from 1 species
CGGUAAUUCCAGCUCCAAUAGCGUAUACUAACGUUGUUGCAGUUAAAAAGCUCGUAGUUGGAUUUCUGGACGAUGACGUUUGGGUGGAGCCUCGUUGUUCCACUGAUCGUUCAUUGUUCAAAAUUUGUGAAAAGUCUUCAUGAUUCAUUCGUUUGGAUCUGUUGAUUAAUCACUCGUUUACUUUGAGAAAAUUAGAGUGUUCAAAGCAGGCAAUCGCCUUGAAUAUGUUAGCAUGGAAUAAUAACAUAGGACUUUUGUUCUAUUUGUUGGUUGUUCGAGAACGGGAGUAAUGAUUGAUAGGGACGGUUGGGGGCAUCCGUAUUCCCAAGCGAGAGGUGAAGUUCUUGGACCUUGGGAAGACGAACAGAUGCGAAAGCGUUUGCCAAGGACGUUCUCUUUAAUCAAGAACGAAAGUUGGGGGAUCGAAGACGAUCAGAUACCGUCGUAGUCUCAACUAUAAACUAUGCCAGCUAGGGAUCGGCGGGAUCUUGUCACGGAUCCGUCGGCACCUUACGAGAAAUCAAAGCAUUUGGGUUCCGGGGGGAGUAUGGUCGCAAGGCUGAAACUUAAAGGAAUUGACGGAAGGGCACCACCAGGAGUGGAGCCUGUGGCUUAAUUUGACUCAACACGGGAAAACUUACCAGGUCCGGACAUAGUAAGGAUUGACAGAUUGAAAGCUCUUUCUUGAUUCUAUGGGUGGUGGUGCAUGGCCGUUCUUAGUUGGUGGAGUGAUUUGUCUGGUUAAUUCCGUUAACGAACGAGACCCGCGCCUGCUAAAUAGCUUGCGUACUACGGUACCGUUAGCUUCUUAGAGGGACCAUCCUGCGUCUAGCGGAAGGAAGUUGCGGGCAAUAACAGGUCUGUGAUGCCCUUAGAUGUUCUGGGCCGCACACGGGCUACACUGGAGGGUACAACGAGCUUUACGCCGUACCGAAAGGUAAGGCCAAUCUUUGAAUACCCUCCGUGAUUGGGAUAGACCCUUGCAAUUUUUGGUCUUCAACGAGGAAUUCCUAGUAAACGCGUGUCAACAACACGCAUUGAUUACGUCCCUGCCCUUUGUACACACCGCCCGUCGCUCCUACCGAUUGAAUGUUUCGAUGAGUUAUUCGGAGGGGCGCACCCGAAGGCGUCAGCUGGAGGGUCGCUCCAAAGUCUCGCAAAUCUGAACAUUUAGAGGAAGGAGAAGUCGUAACAAGGUAGCCG